AUUGAACGCUGGCGGCAUGCCUUACACAUGCAAGUCGAACGGUAACAGGUCUUCGGAUGCUGACGAGUGGCGAACGGGUGAGUAAUGCAUCGGAACGUGCCCAGUUGUGGGGGAUAACUGCUCGAAAGAGCAGCUAAUACCGCAUACGACCUGAGGGUGAAAGCGGGGGAUCGCAAGACCUCGCGCAAUUGGAGCGGCCGAUGUCAGAUUAGGUAGUUGGUGGGGUAAGGGCCUACCAAGCCGACGAUCUGUAGUUGGUCUGAGAGGACGACCAGCCACACUGGGACUGAGACACGGCCCAGACUCCUACGGGAGGCAGCAGUGGGGAAUUUUGGACGAUGGGCGCAAGCCUGAUCCAGCAAUGCCGCGUGCAGGAAGAAGGCCUUCGGGUUGUAAACUGCUUUUGUCAGGGAAGAAAUCCUCUGGGUUAAUACCCCGGGGGGGAUGACGGUACCUGAAGAAUAAGCACCGGCUAACUACGUGCCAGCCGCCGCCGUAAAAC
rnacentral:rRNA from 1 species